ensembl:lncRNA
CUACUAAAUGCAUUUAAUAUACAUUUAAACUACAAUACAUUCUUAUUUAAUUGCAAAUAACAUGCAAUAAAGAGUAUGAAAACAUCACAUUCAGAUAUAUUCUUUUAUAUUUUAGAAAGGAAAAAAGGAAACUACAAUCUUCUACAAAUGAAUCAAAUAUGACUGUUAUGAGUCACUAUGAGUACGCACAGAAUGCAACACAAUAAUAUGCAAAGAGUAACCCGGAUGCCACAUGAAAUCGACAGUUCAGGAGGCAAAACAGUUGGCCAUGCCACGUGGAAGACAAAGGGUCCCAGUCCAAUGUGAAGACACUAUUUCAGUUCAGUGUCAGGAUGACCAAUUCGGGUUGGAUGCUGAAGUGGUUUAUGAUGAAAAAAUUUUUCCCUUACGAAGGUGCAAUCCAUUUGUGACUGAGUCAUAUCACAGGGGACGAGUUCCUGGGCAGAAUCAGGAUACUGGUGUGUCUCCAGGAUUCAUAGCACCUGAUGGCAUGGGCGGCAAUGGCCAAGAGCUGAUGAACAGAGAUGAACGCUAUAAAAAAGAGAAGCGUGUGCAUCCAAAGGGAAAGAAGAAAAAGGUUAAGAGAGGCGAGAACACAGCUUCACCAUUAAAGAGGAAAAUCAUCCAGUCAGCAUCUGACAGUAACAAAAUGUGAUUUGAUUAAUAAGAUAAAUAACACCUAUUUUCUUGUUUAAAGUGAUAGUUCACCCAAAAAUUCUGUCAUUAAUUACUCACCCUCAUGUUGUUUCAAACCCGUAAGACCUUUGUUCACCUUUGGGACACAAACUAAGUUAUUUUUGAUGAAAUGCGAGAGCUGUCUGACCCUGAAUAGACAGCAACAGAACUAUCACGUUCAAGCCCAGAAAGGUAGUAAGAAGAAUCAUUAAAAUAGUCCAUGUGGCAUCAGUGAUGGACAGCGUUGCUGUCUAUGCAGGGUCAGAAAGCUCUCGGAUUUUAUCGAUAGCUUAGUUUGUGUUCUGAAGAUGAAUGAAGGUCUUACAGGUUUGGAACGACACAAGGGUAAUUAAUUACAGAAUUUUCAUUUUUGGGUGAACUGUCCCUUUAACGUAGCAUACACACUGCUUUUCUAUAAGCUUAAGCAGCACUUAAAAGCUUUAUAAACUUUGAAUCUAUAACUCUAACUUUCUGUACUCUUUAAAUAUAUUCUUUCAAAAGGACAAUAAAAGCUGUCAUUCAUUAUCGUAAAUGGAAAAG